rnacentral:rRNA from 1 species
UACGAAGGGGGACUAGCGUUGUUCGGAAUCACUGGGCGUAAAGCGCACGUAGGCGGAUGUGUCAGUCAGGGGUGAAAUCCCGGAGCUCAACUUCGGAACUGCCUUUGAUACAGCACGUCUUUGAGUCCGAUAGAGGUGGGUGGAAUUCCUAGUGUAGAGGUGGAAUUCGUAGAUAUUAGGAAGAACACCGGUGGCGAAGGCG